GGAGACCGCGGCGGACGGUGGGGAGAGCGCGCGCGCGUCCAUCCGAUUUCAGGCCUUUGUUGCCGGAGCCUCGUGCCGAUGGGUUAAUGGGGCAGAAGAGAUCGGUGAAGGGCGACAGAAGCGGCCUUUGAAAGAGGGUGUCAGCGCGGGGCAGCGAGACAAAGGCCAAAACACACACGGGCGGAGAGGGACAGAUGGGGACGGGCGAGGGAAAACAAUUAGGCCGCAAGUGCGGGGGCGGGGCGCGGCUCCAUCGUUUUCCAGUUAACCAGGCCUGGCCGGCGCGGGCCCCACGCCCCAGGCUGGAGCGGUGCCGAAGCGCAGAGCAGACCGGCUUCUGCUGCGUGCGCGAGUCGCUGACCGUAGCCACCCCGUGUCUCCCUGCGGGAUGACCUGAGAGCGUUUCCUGGAAGCCGCGCAGCCCCUCUCCCGGCCUCCACCAUCGGGGCCGCUCACCCUCUGGGGACUCUGGCCCCGGGACCCCGGGAUCCAGGCCCGGUGCGCGCGGCUCCGGCCCCGAGCGCGCUGUCCAGGCUGGAUCCCCACCAGGCGGCGCUGCGCCCCUCCGAGCCCGCCCGGCCGCGCUCUGCAAACCGAUGCUGUUUAAUUAACGUGCAAAUUGAGUAGAUUAAAUGACUCUAAAUAAUUAGCCACAGAUCCUACAAACAGGAUAACAGAUUUAAUUAAGCAGCGAUAUAGAUUUUGGAAACUGUUAAUGUAUUUUUAGAAUGGCAGCUCAGAUCCUUCACUUUUCCCCCCUAACUUCAAACAUGUAACUACGGCCCUCCGAACGUGGAUAAAUAUCUGGAAACAAGAUUACGCCUGUUAACUUCAACUAAUAGAAAUGUGGGUUUAACAGGAACUUGCACGGCUCCGGCGCCGGCGCCGCUGCAGCCCGCGUGGCCCGGGCCGGGCCGGUUCUGUUUGGCUUUGUUGUUCUUGGUGCGCGCGGUCUGGCGCCUGGGCCCUGGGCAGAGAGGGUCAGAACAUACAGGAGGAAGGGGAAGGGAGAAGGGAUCUGAACAACGUGAGCCGCCGGCCCAUCUGAGGAUUAAAAGGAGCCAUAACAAAGAGUGUUAACCCUUCGCAGUCUUCCAGCUCCCCAGACUCCAAGGGCGGAGCUGCCCCUGGCCUGGGGGCACCAAUAGGGCACCGGUGACCAGGACUGCAGAUCCCCUGGACCUCUGAGGCAGAGGGAGAGGGGCCUGGGGUGUCGGGGAAAGUGUCCACGGGCUGUCCUCCGGCGAAGGGGGAUGUUGGGAGGAGGGACGCUGACUGCUGCCUGGUGGGCUGGCACAAUGAGGUGGCCGCCCCAGACUUCCACAGAUGGGGCUCUCAGUGCCCCCCUUCUCCUCCUGGCCACAUUCUGCCACUGGACCCCAGCUGAGUAGCUGGGAGGCUCCGGUCCCUCUGAGCUGGCAAGGCCCCACCGCAAACACAAAGCCGGCCACAUCCCUCAGGCCCCUGCCUGCCUCCCCGCCCUGGGAGACCUGUACCCCCACCUCAGCCUGGGUCCGUGGGACCCGCUUUGGCCUGCACCCCACCUGGAGGCCUGGGGCUACCAUCUUGGUGGCGUGGGUGAAAGAAGCCACCUGGAUCCCGGCCGGGGAACUUGGCCCAAGGGGACUUGGGCUCUGGCCGUCUAGUGGGGAGGCGAGGCGGUUACAAAUGGCUCACAGGAGGGUAACGCGGCGCAGAUUGAGUUUAUAAAAUACAAGGCAAA
rnacentral:lncRNA from 1 species